AAUUUUAAACCUUUUUAAAUUUAUUUAUUUAUUUAUUCACUUUGGUUUCUCUACAGUUGAUCUAAGAAGGGUUAAGGAGGAAAAAAACACAAAGCUCAAACUUUCAUUUUGAAAACACCGCAUUUCAAAAUAUACAUCAUUUGGUAAUGAUUUUCAAUGCAGCAAGCACCAUGGCUGUGGAAUGUUUAAAAGUUGAAAUUUGCAAUGACAAUGCCAUGACAUUAUAGGUCACAAAAUCAACUCAAGGUGUCUAAUAAUGAAAUUCACCAGAGCUGACAGGCUUACGCCCCACUGAUCCUUCCUCCAUGGUUUUUCUCUCAUGGCUCUUUUUCUGAAGCUCCGGUUGGAGUUUACUAGCAUUAUGUUCAAAACAUUCCAAUUUGGCCAUAAGAUGCAGAUUUGGACCAGCUAAUGUGGCAGAUUUUACAUUGGAGGGAAAAUUUGAUGCAAUGGGGACACUAGAAGUAGGAGAGUCAGAGCUUGAGGCUUGAACUUAAGUUGGAUCCUUUCUUAUCCUCUAUGCUCCCACUAAAACGGAUGUUUUUCACUUCAGAAGUAUCUGAAAGUUUGUUUCCAAAUUCUACAUUACCAGGCAAUAGACAAAAGUUAAGAAGCAAUGAAAGCAUUUGAUAUAA